CCUACGGGUGGCUGCAGUGGGGAAUAUUGCACAAUGGGCGCAAGCCUGAUGCAGCCAUGCCGCGUGUGUGAAGAAGGCCUUCGGGUUGUAAAGCACUUUCAGCGGGGAGGAAGGCGGUGAGGUUAAUAACCUCAUCGAUUGACGUUACCCGCAGAAGAAGCACCGGCUAACUCCGUGCCAGCAGCCGCGGUAAUACGGAGGGUGCAAGCGUUAAUCGGAAUUACUGGGCGUAAAGCGCACGCAGGCGGUCUGUCAAGUCGGAUGUGAAAUCCCCGGGCUCAACCUGGGAACUGCAUUCGAAACUGGCAGGCUAGAGUCCUGUAGAGGGGGGUAGAAUUCCAGGUGUAGCGGUGAAAUGCGUAGAGAUCUGGAGGAAUACCGGUGGCGAAGGCGGCCCCCUGGACAAAGACUGACGCUCAGGUGCGAAAGCGUGGAGAGCAGACAGGAUUAGAUACCCUAGUAGUC
rnacentral:rRNA from 1 species